UAUGAUUCUAGGAUAUAAUCGUGACCUGUCUCUGAGCUGCUCUACAGUGCAAAAACGGACUGAGCAUCUGAAACAUCGAUCUGUCUGAAAUGGUGACAAACACAUAGGAGUAUGCAGAUGCUUGUUCCAAAAGAAAUAAAGUACACAACAAGAAAAGAGGCUAUGAGUACCUGCAACAAUACCUGUGCCUGAUUACCAGUGUAAGAAACAGGAGAAUGAUGUUUAUUUAAGUCACCAUGAAAAGACUGAAUUACUUCCAAAUAUUACUGUAAUAGUUCAAUAAAAU